rnacentral:rRNA from 1 species
UUAGAACGUCGUGAGACAGUUCGGUCCCUAUCUGCCGUGGGCGCUGGAGAAUUGAGGGGGGUUGCUCCUAGUACGAGAGGACCGGAGUGAACGCACCACUGGUGUUCGGGUUGUCAUGCCAAUGGCAUUGCCCGGUAGCUAAGUGCGGAAAAGAUAAGUGCUGAAAGCAUCUAAGCACGAAACUUGCCCCGAGAUGAGUUCUCCCUGACUCCUUGAGAGUCCUGAAGGGACGUUGAAGACUACGACGUUGAUAGGCCGGAUGUGUAAGCGCAGCGAUGCGUUGAGCUAACCGGUACUAAUGACCCGUGAGGCUUAACCUU